GCUUUAGAAGCGAGUGACGUGACGUGUGAGCAUGCGGGUAGCUUUUGUGUCAUAGAGUUUGGGUUCAAUAGCAUAGUCUAAUGCUACCAAUGUUUGCAGGAUCAUGUUCGGAUUGGAGACUUUAAUUGGUUCUCCAAUGUAGAGUCCAAGUGACUAGAGUCCAAAGAGUGUUCGAGUUGGAGUCCAAUGCAGCCAAGAUGAUGUUUCUUUGGCUGCAGGUACUACGGUAUAGUCGAUGGGUCGGUAACAGUGUGCUUGGGAUAUUAUGACUGAAGCUCGCCGCGACAGUUGCAAUUGUCGGACCACGGGUUGUCCACUAUUUUAUAGGUUUGGUAUGGCUUGUGACGUUUGUGUCACUUAUUCUUUGUUAAGCCAUUAUUGUUAUUGUGUUAAUAAGACUCAAACAGAUAGAUGUUAAAUGGCUCUUUGUUGUAAUUAAUUUGUGAUAGAUGUAUAAGUUGUAAUUUCCGCUAUUCAGAUUCAUGUUUUCCGCUGCAUA